rnacentral:sRNA from 1 species
GAGAGGUGGAACCCGCAAAAUUGUAGUUU